UACGUAGGGGGCAAGCGUUGUCCGGAAUCAUUGGGCGUAAAGAGCGUGUAGGCGGCUCGGUAAGUCCGCUGUGAAAGUCCAGGGCUCAACCCUGGAAUGCCGGUGGAAACUGUCGAGCUAGAGUCCGGAAGAGGCGAGUGGAAUUCCUGGUGUAGCGGUGGAAUGCGCAGAUAUCAGGAGGAACACCAAUAGCGAAGGCAGCUCGCUGGGACGUUACUGACACUGAGGCGCGAAAGCGUGGGGAGCGAACAGG
rnacentral:rRNA from 1 species